CCAAUGAGAGCCCGCCAUGCUGGGAGUUAUUUAUAGUAUUGCAUUUGUUUCAUUUUGAGAGUGGUGAACCACUGAGCUCCUUUUACGUACCAUGACGCCAGUGCUCUGACUGAUUUAUUUAUUUACAUUUAUUUAUUUAUUUUAGUUCUAUCACAGCUACACCGGAAACGCAAAAGACUUGUUCAAUUCAUGUGUGCAACAUGGGAUGAUUUUGCUUCCGAAAAUUUCUUAUUGUGUAGAGGGAAGCACAGGGAAGAGGAGGAUGAGAAGUGAAGAGUUGCAAGAGGAAGAGGGUGAGAAGUGAAGAGUUGCAAGAGGAAGAGGGUGAGAAGUGAAGAGUUGGAAGAGGAGGACGAGCAGGAGUAGAGAGUCCCAACUAGAAGAGGAAGACUUGAUGAAUGAGUGUAUGCAAGGAACAUUUUUUCACUAGGACAUUCAAAUUAUAAAGCUGCCAACACAGAGGAAGUAGCAGUAGUGGGAACAACACUGAGGGAUUAGUUGUCAAGAACUGCCAGCUCUGACACUCGGGUCAACAGGUGAAGAGCAUCAGUGCAGAGCUGAAUCUCCACGGGGUGGCUGACUAUGGUGUUAAGUCACACUAUCACCAAAGUCUCCAGGAUCCAUCCACUAAGAAUUCCUUCGGGUGAUUCUGAUGCAUUUCCUUAAUCUGACUUAUGGCAACAGUGGUAGUUAUUGCAGGACAAGAUUGUAAUGACGCUAACUGCAGUGGUGGAAGGUGUGAACUUCAUCUGCCAAUACAGUAAGGUAUAUAAUGAAAGGAAGAGUGUAGCACCAUGGAUGCAAGAAGUAUAGUUAGACCCUUCCUCUGGAGUAUGCAGAAGGGAGAAGAAUUCUGUGGAAUUAAGGUUUAAAUAAUUCUAAUAUGCACAGUUUAAGUUCAUAAAAACUACACAACAAGCAUAUUCUAGUGAAGAAAAAUUCAACAUGUCCCAUAGAAAAUAAAUAAACUUAGUAAUGUGAAAACAUUUUUUUCCUGUGGCUGGUUAGAUUUCACCUUGGUGGCCAAAAUAGAUCUGGAUGGUUAUUAUAGUCCUGCCAACUCUUCUCAGACCAACGAAACACUUCAGCCCCUCUCCAUCACACAGCUGCAUCCUCUGCUAUCUCUAUAUGUACCUCCAUUUUAAUGCUAACUGCAUGUCUCCCCUCUCAUGGCUAUCUUCCACCCUUAUUUUGAUUCUAACAAUCUGAUCUUGUCAACUGCAUGCCUCCCCAUCUCCCAUGGCCUUACAACACAAAACUAGUCUCACCCUUAUUUUGUUUAUUUCUCUAAAGCAAAAAUUAACCAUUUUUUAUAUUUCUCAAUCUUACAUCCCUUUUACAAGUACAAUAUAGUACUCCCUAUCUCAUUCUAUAUUCCUCCUCCCUAAGACAUAAAUGUUCAUGAAAGAUCUCAAGAUGCUUACCCUCCCAACUUUGAAUAAUCCACUUGGCAAGGUAGUUUCCUAGCAUCAAACACCUUCCACUUUCUCAUCCUCAAGUCCAGUUCUCUCAUACCUCCUUAGUUUGUACCUAUGAAUAAAACAGAUAGGUGUCCUCUCCCUUUCCCAUGCACAUCUACCAGUGUUUUAUCAUAUUCAAUCUAUAUACAUUUUCCCCAUCUCUAUCUCACUAUUUCUCGUUUUUUACACCAGUUUUCCUUUACUCCAAAGAUUGAUCUUUUCUCCCUUUCAUCACAUUUGUAGACCUGUACACAUAUUAGUACACUAAUAUUCCUACCAUUAUGAUAAAUUCUAUCAGUUAAGCUUUCCACCAUUCAGUGCCUCUCCACAUGCCAACAUGUCUUUACAAACCAAUUAUAAUUACCUGUUACCAUCAUGCUUUGUCUGAAUGCUGGCAUCAUGAUGGAAAACUGGAAACAGGGAUAUCAGUGCUACUAGAUUUGAAGUACUGCAAGAUACUGAGGCAAUGUUGGAUGAGGAUGGUGAGCAAUUCAUGAAGUCUGCAACUAUAGUACAUGCUUCUCCCACCCUUCCUCACUGCAUGGCUGCAAAAGAGAGACUCAUGUGAAGCAUUGCACAUUUACUAUUAUGGAACAUAUUCUGUACUUUGUUUGCAAAAGGCACUAGUUAAAGUUGCACAGAUUUAUUAGUGAAAUUUAUGGUUAAGUGACAAAGGUUCCAAAUUAACAAGAAAUAUUCAUGCAAAGCUAUUAUAAUAAUCUCUCUGGCCUCUAAAAAUAGUUAUGGUAAGAGCAUUGUGUUUAAGAGUACAGACCUAUGUCAUGCAGGUCAGCCGUGUAGUCAUAGCAUUUGUCAACCUGUCAUUAGUGUAAACUGCACAAACUACCUGAAGACUUGGUGGCAGGUUUAAGGAUUUAAACUAAGUCUAAUUUCCUUGUUAAAGGUGAGUUCACAUGUGUCAAUGUGCAAUGGAAAUUGCAAGUCACUAGAAGUAUCGCCUGAGCCCUUCUAGUUGGAACACAUUCACACAUAGCGACUGAGAAGUAUGGGCUGGUUGGCAAUAAGUGAAGGUAAAUUAACAACUACCCAACAAGAAGUCUUCCUCUGGUGAUAAUGAUGAUUGUGAUCAAACUAAAUCACCCCAAGUAUUAAAUCCUCACCAACACCACCCUGCAUAAAGGGAAGCAUUUCUUGGAGAGUGCCACGGAUCUCAUUGAAUGUCAAUUUGCAUUAUCUUUUUUUGCUGUACAAUUCAUUUUGAAGAUCCCAGAUGUGCCCUUUCUCUCUCACUAAUUUCAACAUCAUCUCUACAUCUGGACACAACAUUUUUAAACCUUCCUCCAUGACAUCAACAUAAACAAAGUUGCAAAUCAACUGAACAAGACCAACAUAUUGGUCUUGUUUUGCAACUGGUUUUUCCAGUUGCUAGACACCAAAAUUCAGUUGGAAACUACCAAUUUGCAAUUUCAGUUACAAAUUGAUGUGUGAACUCACCUGUACUAUCUGCAUCUAAGAUGAUUAUGAAAUAUUCCACCGGUCAUUACAACUUAUGAUCUUAGUGUAUGUAGUAUAUAUAAAUUUAUUAAUUCAAUGCUAAUGUAUAUUCAGGAUUGUAUUAUGGUUUUGUUGACUCCAUUUUAGAAUUUACACUUACAAAA